rnacentral:rRNA from 1 species
CCUACGGGAGGCAGCAGUGGGGAAUAUUGCACAAUGGGGGAAACCCUGAUGCAGCGACGCCGCGUGAGUGAAGAAGUAAUUCGUUAUGUAAAGCUCUAUCAGAAGGGAAGAAAAUGACGGUACCUGAGUAAGAAGCCCCGGCUAACUACGUGCCAGCAGCCGCGGUAAUACGUAGGGGGCAAGCGUUAUCCGGAUUUACUGGGGGUAAAGGGAGCGUAGACGGCAGUGCAAGUCCGGAGGUGAAGGCGGGGGCGCAACCCCCGGACUGUUCUGGAAACUGUACGGCUGGAGUGCAGGAGAGGUAAGUGGAAUUCCUAGUGUAGCGGUGAAAUGCGUAGAUAUUAGGAGGAACACCAGUGGCGAAGGCGGCUUACUGGACUGUAACUGACGUUGAGGCUCGAAAGCGUGGGGAGCAAACAGGAUUAGAUACCCGGGUAGUC